GUCAUCUCUGUGUCCACACAUCCUGCCAUAUCUGAUUAAAACAAAUCCCGGCUACCUAAUUAAAACAGUAUGUCAUUGUGUGUCCCAUUUGUGGGCAUGCCCAUAACAACGACACACAGAGUCACUGGUCCCCUCAUGUGUGUUUAGACAACAUGUCACUUUGCAUCACAAAAACACCCAGUGAUGUCAGAGGCGCCGUGCAUCAUAAUGACGCUCCUGGUAUCCAAGAGACCUCAAUUCGCUGCUCAGUCACUGUCCCUGCGGUGAGAACUGGUGGCUGGAUCGGAGCCUCCAGCUGAAGGGAACCUGAUUACAUCUAGAUUGACCCCUAUUGUGUGACAGCUAAUGACCCAGUUAACCUCUGAAAGAAAUUACUUGCUCACCAGCCAGGGACCGACAUCUGGCAGAAGCCCAGGUCUGCUCCUCCGGCAGACGGGAGCCAGACAGCCAUACUCGGGCAAAUGCUCUGACAAAAAUGAACUAGAAGCCACAAUAAAGUCGUCAGAUGCUUGAACUUGGACAUCAAAUCCCAUUGAAUGAAGCGACAGAUGCAGACCUGCGACCACUGUGCUGUUUGGGAGCCGUUCAGAUGCCACGAGAGGCGUCGUCAUUGGUAACGCGUUUUAAAACUGGUGAACGACCCUCAUGAAGUCGUGAACAAAACAAAGCACCACCUCAAUUUACACCAUGGUUUCCUUCCUGAAAAACUCGGGAUAUUUUAAAACAGUGGGAAAAAAAUAUUUUUGUGUCUGUGUAAAAUGGAAUUUGGUUCUGGCUCAGGUCAUUUGAAGCAGCUUUUUCAUCUAUGUGAACAUCCAGAGGGGCAUUCAACAUUAGUGCCAGUGCCUGAAGAUCAAGUAGAGUGGUGGGCUGUGGAGGGCGAGCCCAGAAUCAGUCCCUGAGGCGGGUGUCGGUGUCCCGUUUCCAGACGGCGAAAUGAAGCCAGAGAGAGGAAGAAGUUCACCGAGGUCCCACAGCCGGAGAGGGACGAGGGGGGGCUUCAACGGGAUGCUAUUGGGAGGGAGGCCUGAAUCUAACUGCAGUGUGAUUUCCGGCCUUUUGGGUCACACCCCUGGGCAGACUCUGCAGCAGCCCAGCAAACCUUGCAGUCCCCAGCACGAGAAGGGUGGAUUCCAUCUCUGACUUUCCCCUGAAACUGAAGAGGAGGAACACCCUGAUCACCCAGCUGUUAGUAGACUGCCUGGACCCCCGGUCCUGACUUCGUGCGCCAGCCGCUUUGAGUCCGGCUGAUAAAGGCUCACGGGUGUCCCCUCCCCGAAGUACAGCCCUAGGCCAAAGGGGAGCUUCCUUGCCCAGGAGGUUAUAACCCUCAUGCACAUCCUAGCCAGAGAGAGUGACAGAGAGAGAAAAACGCCAGCCCCCUUGCCUCAAGUUGGGAUCAACUCCGGGAUACAGUUCAUGCUCUGGGGCUCUCCAUAUGGGAUCUCUCCCACAUGGGAUCAGGCUGAAAUUACUCUCCUUCCUUGCUUAGCUUUCUUCCCUUACCCUGUUCUGUACCUUCACUCCCUUUUCUUAGGAGCAUCUCCUCAAUAGAUCACGUGCAAAAGGUCUCCGUCAUAGGCUCUGCUUCUAGAGCACUGACCUAAUGUCGGGUCAAGAUGGAAACCAAAAGACCACUUAGGAGACAACGGCAAUAAUCAGGGUAUCCCAUCCAAAUGGCAGAUCGAAAGAUCACUUACUGGGAAGUCAAAGAACAUGGAUUCCAGUCUUGUGUCUACAACGAGCUCUCUGGAUAACGUUGAAUGAGUCCCAUCCCGUCCCCGGGCCUCAGUUUCCUCAUCUGUCACCCACCAGAAGAAACCAUGUGGUUUGUGCUGAGCAUCUGCUUUCCUUCUGCGUGUCUGGAAUCUUGGCUGAGCAGAGGACACCUACAUGACCAGCCCCCAGCAAAUGCCAUGGGCUCUGAGUCUCUAAGGAGCUUCCCUGGUAGACAACACUUCCCACCUGUUGGGUCUCCCUGCGCCCUGCACCCCACAGCUCAAGCUGCGCUUCCACACUACAGGUCAGAUCAUGACACUCCUUUGCUUAAAUUUCUCCAAUGAUUUCCCAUCAAAUAAAAUCCAAACUCCUUACUGUGGCCCACGAGGCAUGAUCUGGUCUAUUAACGCUCCUUUAAGAGGCCAAGUCCUUGCUCAGGGUCAUUGUUCUCACUACUUCCCACUCCCUUGCUCCAGAAACGUGCUCCCCAGCACUUAGCCUGGCUGGCUGCUUCUCAUUUUAGGAAUGAAAAGAGUACCUCCCCGGGGAACCCUUCCCUGACCACGCCGAUAAAGCAGCCUUCCAUGGUCAUCACUUCCUACCUCAUCGUCUUAUUUUCUUCUCUUCAUAGCACUUACCAUACAAUCUGAAAACAUCUUAUUUGCUCACGUGUUCGUUAUCUCUCGCUGUCUCCCCAACCAGAAUGGAAGCUCCAUGAGGACAGGAACCUUGUCUGUCUUGUUCAGAACUUUACUCCCAGCAGCUAGCACAGUGUCUGGUAUAGUCAGUGCUUAACAGAUAUUUGCUGAAUGACUAAAUAAGAGAAAGUGCGCUCAGUCGUAGACAGGCUGCCCUUGUUCGCCUGGUUCCUGUUUCCAGGUGCACAGUUGAAUCCAGAGCCCACGCAUCUCGUUUACCGUCUGCUUCCUGGAACUUGCUGGGCAGCUUCGUACACCUGCACCUUGUCUUUGUCAGGUCCAUUUCUUAAAAACAACAGAAGUCAUGCCGAAAAUUUAAACAGAAAAGGAAUUUACUAAAACAAGUGGGUAGCUAGGAGAUUUCCCAGGAGGGCCAGAUAAUCAGAUUUAGAGGCUACAUAGCUAAGAACUUGGUCCAAAAAUCAUCCCACAGAGCUAUUCACAUGAAGGUACCUCUGGCACCUCUGGGCACAAACCCUAUGGCUCCCAUUUCUCAGAGCACUGAUGUACAGCUCCUCCCACUCACGGGCCAGCCCCAGAACUGAUUUCAUGAGGUUCUGGUUUCUUAAAGAGACAAGAUCCCAAUUCCAAAUUUGUGUAUGUGGGUGCAGAUGCUGAGUGCACCCAGAUUCAGGGCCCUAGCCCUAGCUGCAAGGGAGGCUGGGUAACUGAGUAAUUGGAGUUACAGCAAGAGGCAGUGGUUUAUAAGGUGUAACGUUUGCUGAACGCAGGAAAGGAAGUCAGGGUUUCUGUAUGACUAGACGAAGUGCACACACUCAGUAAAUUCUUUGGGCAGGUGGCCACGGAAGAGCUCUCUUCCCCUUUAAGCCAUCGGCUCUUAUCCCACCAGAAGGCUGCAGCAAACCAUCCCCUCUCUCUCUCUCUCAGGGUGACAGGCAGCGCUGUGACCACUUUCCAGAAGCUUCUUUCCUUUAAGGCAAUGAGGAGCUGCUGGAAUUGCUGUCUCGGUAGUUCCAAUCAUUGCUCAUUCUUGCUCAGCACAAAAUCAACCUCAGGAUUGACACGGCUGUGCCUGAAAGAGUUUUUUAUGCUAAACACCAGACGUAAACACAGCCCAGUAGACCAUGGAGUCCGGCCUGGAUUUACGCGUAUGACGUGGGGGAACAGGCAGAGAAAGGGCUGCACUGGUGUCUACACUCAACUUCUAUCCUUUCUGCUUUCCUUCCUUAACAAAGACUUAGGAAGUGUCCGCCACAGGCCAAGCAAUGUGCUAGGAGCUGGACAUGCGCUUCUGAGGCAUGGUCCCUGCCAUCCCGGAGUUCAUCUGGGGUGGAGUUGGGGAGAGCAGAUAUCAACAAAAUGGUCGUUCCAAUAAAUGUAAUCUGCAGAUGAAGACAAGUGUGCCCUCUGAAAGUCGACUAAAUCCUGUUCCUUGCCUGCUCAGAGCCCUCUGACAUCUUCCCCACACCCAGAGUAAAAUCCACGCUACCAGCCCCACGGGAUGUGGCCAUGGUGGCCUCUGGCCAACCUCCUGACAUUCUGCCUGAACUCACUGGGCCUAGCCACACGAGCCUUUUCUCUGUUUCUUCUGCUUUGUUCAGCUUACAGUUAUUUUUGAGUCUCUGUUACUCAUAGUCCCACCCACCCCCAAUGGACACGGCACAUUCAGGAACUUUGGUCUUUAUUUUUAGGGCAAGGUAAAGUGCUGGAAGUGUCUAGACAGUGGGGCGAUGUGUGGGUUUGGUGCAUUCGGGGAUCCCUCUGGCUGCGUUGAGGAAACCAGUGGACGUUGGGUGCUGGGUGUUGGGUUUUGGGUGAGGUCAUGGGGGAGCCUCCUGUCCUCCCACAGCGUAGAGGACGCUGAGCUUAUGUCGAGACGAGCUGAGACCAGGAGGCCCACAGGCCUCAGCUGCUCCCCAUGGGGGUUCCCUGGGCAGCUGCGAGGUUGGAGAUGGGUCACACUCCCAGACCCCAGCCCCCUUGUCUGAGAAACGGGAGGCUCGGCGACUCUCUGACUUGUAAGGGCCCUGCCCACGCUGAAGAGCUGAAGCUCACACAGCUGGUGGAGGGCAAAUCCGCGUCGGCUCCACUGUCUGUGUUUCUUGUGCAGUUUCAUGGCCCCUUCUGCUCCCCCGAGCAAGCCCACCAUGUUUUACCAGAAAAGAACUGGAGGAGAGGCAGGAUCUCGACAUCCCAGAUGGUCAUGGAAGAGACUUGGGGUCGAGGAACACCCCUGACGCCCUCAGCCCACAUUCCUCAGUGUCCUCCCCCUCAAAGGUGCGCAGGGAUGAGGCCCCACUCUGGCGGUGGAGACAGACAUGGACAGAUGAGUGAACAACGGAACAAAGUGCCUCAGACAGCGGCCAUUGCCCUGACCGUGGGUGUCAGGGCAGCCCACACCCCUCCACACUCACAGCCCGCCCUUGUCACCUGCCAUCUGACCACAAGCCCCAGAGUCCACCUGAUGGCGCUCUCCUGACCCAGGGAAAUGCUGGGAGCUGACACCCCAGACGCAGGGACGUCUGGGACCCCAAGGGAUGAAAGACCUCUGCCAGGGACAGCUGGGACCCCGAGGGCUUUCCUGGUAACACACCUGCGCUGUCCCACUGCCCCACUGCCCUGCAGGGUCUCCCAGAAUAAACUCCUCCCCUCUCUCUUCUCGUCAGCACCUUCUUCUGGGACCUGAACCACGGCCGACGAAGUCAAACAUGAUGGCAGGACGGAACAGAGGCCGAUGAGCUUUUGUGCAAGGGCCAGAUGGUAAGUGUUCUAGGUUCUGCGGGUACCCAGUCUCUGUCACAACUACUCAGCUGUGCUCCGUGGCAAGAAGAUACAUAAGUGAAUCAAUGUGGCCGUUUCAAUAAAACUUUAUUUACAAAACAGGCAGCGGGCUGGAUUUGCCCCCGGCUGUGCUUUGCUGACCGCCGGGAUGGAGAGUCACCAGUUAGGGGCAAAGGGUGUUGAGCAGAUAAUGUGUGAAUGAGAAGUCGCCAAAUGAAGUUCCAGGGGAGGGCAUUCCAAGCAGAGGGAACUGCAAGGACAAAGGCCACAAGGUAGGAACACCAUUGGUACGUUAGAGGAACAGAGAGUUGGCCAACAUGGCUGGAGAAGGAAGAGAGACAAGCCAGGACACGCUAGGAAGAUAACUAGUUCUGAACGGUCCUGUGUGCUCCUGGCACUUAUUUAAUCGCCCCAACAGCCCCACGGGGAAGUGCAAUUAUUGCCCCACUGUCCAGAGGAGGAAACUGAGGCACAGGGAGGUGAAGCACUUGGCCUGAGGUCACCAGGCUAGUUACCAGUGGGGCCAGGAUGCUCCUCCCCUCCGCUCACAAUGAGCACUGCCCAUGGGGAGAGGGAGGUCACGGCGUGUUCACCCCAGGGCCCUGCAGAGCUGGGCACGCAGCAGAGACUUGGUGACAACAAACAACAGUAAUAGUGACAUUUGUCCAGCACCAACCCUGUGCCAGGCCCCCUUCUAGGAUCUUCACACAGACUGAUUCAUCUAAUCCUCAUAUCCACUCUAUGAGGUAGAGGUGCAUGUCACCCUGCGACACAGGAGGAAACUGAGGCACUGAGGGUGUAAGUAAUUUUCCC
rnacentral:lncRNA from 1 species